UUUCCGUAGGUGAACCUGCGGAAGGAUCAUUCAUAAUAAGUGUUUUAUGGCACUUUUUUAAAUCCAUAUCCACCUUGUGUGCAAUGUCAGGGUUGAUUUUUCUCUCGAGAGGAUCAACCCCAAACAUCAACUAUAUCUCAACUCUUUGUCUGAAAAAUAUUAUGAAUAUAACAAUUCAAAAUACAACUUUCAACAACGGAUCUCUUGGCUCUC
rnacentral:misc_RNA from 1 species